UUUCCCCAUUUUUCUCUCCCUCACCGCACACUUCUCUUCUUCUUCUUCUUUCUUUUGUUUCUUUUCUUUCUUUACCUCUUUCUCCUUUCUGUUCACGCACGCCACCUAACCCACUUCCCCUUUUCUUUUCUCUUCUUCCCUUCCCUUUCCCCCUUCAUCUCUCGCACACCAAUACAGAACCACCCGUGAGAGAGAUUUCCGUGAUGGUGUGUGUGUGUAGCGCGGCCAUGGGGGAAAACCAACGAAAAUCAACAAGGAUAGUGUCCGGAUUGGAGACUUUAAUGAGUUCUCCAAUGUAGAGUUCGAGUCAUGAGUCCAAUGCAGCCAAGAUGACGUUCCUUUGGUUGCAGGUAUUCCGAUCGUAGUUGAUGGUGUUGUAAAAGUGUAUUUGGGAUAUUAUGACUGAAGCUCGCCGCGACGGUCAUAAUUAUGGGACUUUGGGUGUCCUUUAUUUUAUAGGUUUGGUAUAUGUCUUAUGACGCUUGUGUCACAUAAUAUUUGUAAAGCCAUUCUUCGAUGCAAUUAUUAUUUGGAUAAGCCUUAAGCAAAUAGACAUUAUGGCUCUUUUUGUGUAAAUAUCAGUUUAUGUUUAUAGAUGUGACUUCUGCUGUUCAAAUUA